rnacentral:rRNA from 1 species
GUAGGGAAUCUUCCACAAUGGACGAAAGUCUGAUGGAGCAACGCCGCGUGAGUGAAGAAGGUUCUCGGAUCGUAAAACUCUGUUGUGAGGGAAGAACAAGUACCGGAGUAACUGCCGGUACCUUGACGGUACCUCAUUAGAAAGCAACGGCUAACUACGUGCCAGCAGCCGCGGUAAUACGUAGGUGGCAAGCGUUGUCCGGAAUCAUUGGGCGUAAAGCGCGCGCAGGAGGUCCCUUAAGUCUGGUGUGAAAGCCCACGGCUCAACCGUGGAGGGUCAUUGGAAACUGGGGGACUUGAGUGCAGAAGAGGAAAGCGGAAUUCCAAGUGUAGCGGUGAAAUGCGUAGAGAUUUGGAGGAACACCAGUGGCGAAGGCGGCUUUCUGGUCUGUAACUGACGCUGAGGCGCGAAAGCGUGGGGAGCAAACAGGAUUAGAAACCCCGGUAGUCC